AGUGAACGCCGGCGGUAGGCCUAACACAUGCAAGUCGAACGAGUGGCGCACGGGUGAGGAAUACAUCGGAAUCUACUCUGUCGUGGGGGAUAACGUAGGGAAACUUACGCUAAUACCGCAUACGAUUGAAUGAGCCGAUGUCGGAUUAGCUCGUUGGCCGGGUAAAGGCCCACCAAGGCGACGAUCCGUAGCUGGUGUGAGAGGAUGAUCAGCCCCACUGGAACGGAGACACGGUGCAGAGUCCUCCGGAAGGACGCAGUGGGGAGUAUGGGACAGUGGGGGAGGGACGGAUCGAGCCAUGCCGCGGGUGUGGAGAAGGUCGUCGGAUUGUAAAACACUUUAAAUUAGGAGACGUUACCAACAAGAUAGGGACCGGCUAGCUUCGUGCCAGCAGCCGCGGUAAUAC
rnacentral:rRNA from 1 species